rnacentral:rRNA from 1 species
GACGAACGCUGGCGGCGUGCCUAAUACAUGCAAGUAGAACGCUGAAGGAGGAGCUUGCUUCUCUGGAUGAGUUGCGAACGGGUGAGUAACGCGUAGGUAACCUGCCUGGUAGCGGGGGAUAACUAUUGGAAACGAUAGCUAAUACCGCAUAAGAGUAGAUGUUGCAUGACAUUUGCUUAAAAGUUGCAAUUGCAUCACUACCAGAUGGACCUGCGUUGUAUUAGCUAGUUGGUGAGGUAACGGCUCACCAAGGCAACGAUACAUAGCCGACCUGAGAGGGUGAUCGGCCACACUGGGACUGAGACACGGCCCAGACUCCUACGGGAGGCAGCAGUAGGGAAUCUUCGGCAAUGGACGGAAGUCUGACCGAGCAACGCCGCGUGAGUGAAGAAGGUUUUCGGAUCGUAAAGCUCUGUUGUAAGAGAAGAACGAGUGUGAGAGUGGAAAGUUCACACUGUGACGGUAUCUUACCAGAAAGGGACGGCUAACUACGUG